AUGAACGCUGGCGGCGUGCCUAAUACAUGCAAGUCGAGCGAACGGACGAGAAGCUUGCUUCUCUGAUGUUAGCGGCGGACGGGUGAGUAACACGUGGAUAACCUACCUAUAAGACUGGGAUAACUUCGGGAAACCGGAGCUAAUACCGGAUAAUAUUUUGAACCGCAUGGUUCAAAAGUGAAAGACGGUCUUGCUGUCACUUAUAGCUGGAUCCGCGCUGCAUUAGCUAGUUGGUAAGGUAACGGCUUACCAAGGCAACGAUGCAUAGCCGACCUGAGAGGGUGAUCGGCCACACUGGAACUGAGACACGGUCCAGACUCCUACGGGAGGCAGCAGUAGGGAAUCUUCCGCAAUGGGCGAAAGCCUGACGGAGCAACGCCGCGUGAGUGAUGAAGGUCUUCGGAUCGUAAAACUCUGUUAUUAGGGAAGAACAUAUGUGUAAGUAACUGUGCACAUCUUGACGGUACCUAAUCAGAAAGCCACGGCUAACCACGUG
rnacentral:rRNA from 1 species